UGGCUCUCGCAUCGAUGAAGAACGCAGCGAAAUGCGAUACGUAAUGUGAAUUGCAGAAUUCCGUGAAUCAUCGAAUCUUUGAACGCACCUUGCGCCUCUUGGCAUUCCGAGGGGCAUGCCUGUUUGAGUGUCAUUUACAUAUCAAAAAGAAAAUCCUUUUGAAGGUGUUUUCUUUUUGGACUUGGGGGGUUUAGUGCUGCUGCUUGCUUCAUUGCAGGGAUCAGCUCCUCUUAAAUGCAUUAGCAAUGGUUUGAAUGUUUAUUCAAAUGGCAAAACUAUGCUUGAUUUUGGCAUUGAUAAUUAGUUCUUCUAUGCCCAAGUUCAAGCUUGGUUUCCUUGGUCAUUGCUCACAGCAGUCCUUGAGACAAAAUUUAACCUUGACAAACUUGACCUCAAAUCAGGUAGGACUACCCGCUGA
rnacentral:misc_RNA from 1 species